GGGGCUGAUCGGUUUCGACUGGGGACGUACUUCCCAGGGGAAGCGGGUCGAGGAGCCAGCGUCAUCUCGUAAACGACCGCUGGAAAACAACAACUGCCGAUUCCAAGCGCAGUAACUUCGCUCUCGCUGCCUGAGCAGUGAUCGAAGGGUCGGUCCGGGGGCGCCUCCGCCCCGGUAGCCGGCCUCAUUUAGGAGGCUCGCUGAUCAACACGCGCCGGGCGUGCUGAUCGGGACUUUUUCCCGGCUGAGUCUGUCGGUGACGUGUUCGUGCGAGCACCGGGACUGAGAAAACGACAUCACGAACUGCACCCGGAGAAGCCCUGGCUCGGCGCCACAGGACGCGGGUUCGAUUCCCGCCAGCUCCACCG
rnacentral:tmRNA from 1 species